rnacentral:rRNA from 1 species
AGAGUUUGAUCAUGGCUCAGAUUGAACGCUGGCGGCAUGCCUAACACAUGCAAGUCGAACGGCAGCACAGCAGAGCUUGCUCUGUGGGUGGCGAGUGGCGGACGGGUGAGUAAUGCAUCGGGACCUACCCAGACGUGGGGGAUAACGUAGGGAAACUUACGCUAAUACCGCAUACGUCCUACGGGAGAAAGCAGGGGAUCUUCGGACCUUGCGCGGUUGGACGGACCGAUGUGCGAUUAGCUAGUUGGUAGGGUAAUGGCCUACCAAGGCGACGAUCGCUAGCUGGUCUGAGAGGAUGAUCAGCCACACUGGGACUGAGACACGGCCCAGACUCCUACGGGAGGCAGCAGUGGGGAAUAUUGGACAAUGGGGGCAACCCUGAUCCAGCAAUGCCGCGUGUGUGAAGAAGGCCUUCGGGUUGUAAAGCACUUUUAUCGGGAACGAAACAUUGUCGGUUAAUACCCGGCAAGACUGACGGUACCCGAGGAAUAAGCACCGGCUAACUCCGUGCCAGCCGCCGCGGUAAUAC